ensembl:lncRNA
AUCCAACACCCUUCUCCAUUCCAACCUGUCAGAAGCUCUAAUUGAAAAACAUACAGAAUAUCCAUCCAGUGACACUACUCACAGUGGGCAGUAGGGGGAGGUAGUGACACUAUUCACAGUGGGCAGUAGGGGGAGGUAGUGACACUACUCACAGUGGGCAGUAGGGGGAGGUAGUGACACUACUCACAGUGGGUAGUAGAGGGAGGUAGUGACACUACUCACAGUGGGCAAUAGGGGGAGGUAGUGACACUACUCACAGUGGGCAGUAGGGGGAGGGAGUGACACUACUCACAGUGGGUGGUAGAGGGAGGUAGUGACACUACUCACAGUGGGCAGUAGGGGGAGGUAGUGACACUACUCACAGUGGGCAGUAGGGGGAGGUAGUGACACUACUCACAGUGGGCAGUAGGAGGAGGUAGUGACACUACUCACAGUGGGCAGUAGGGGAGGUAGUGACACUACUCACAGUGGGCAGUAGAGAGAGGUAGUGCAGUAGGGGAGGUAGUGACACUACUCACAGUGGGCAGUAGGGGGAGGUAGUGACACUACUCACAGUGGGCAGUAGGGGAGGUAGUGACACUACUCACAGUGGG